rnacentral:rRNA from 1 species
AUCUUCUGGAACACUACUGACGCUGAGGCGCGAAGGCGUGGGGAGCAAACAGGAUUAGAUACCCUGGUAGUCCACGCAGUAAACGAUGAAUGUUAGUCGUCGGGUAGCUAGUCUAUUCGGUGAUGCAGCUAACGCAUUAAACAUUCCGCCUGGGGAGUACGGUCGCAAGAUUAAAACUCAAAGGAAUAGACGGGGACCCGCACAAGUGGUGGAGCAUGUGGUUUAAUUCGAAGAUACGCGAAGAACCUUACCUAGCCUUGACAUAUUUUAGAACUCCGUAGAGAUACAGAGGUGCCUUCGGGAGCUAAUUUACAGGUGCUGCACGGCUGUCGUCAGCUCGUGUCGUGAGAUGUUGGGUUAAGUCCCGCAACGAGCGCAACCCUCGUCACUAGUUACUAACGGUUCGGCCGAGGACUCUAGUGAGACUGCCUUCGUAAGGAGGAGGAAGGUGAGGACGACGUCAAGUCAUCAUGGCCCUUACGGCUAGGGCAACACACGUGCUACAAUAGCCAGGACAGUGAGACGCGAUACCGCGAGGUGGAGCAAAUCUAUAAACCUGGUCUCAGUUCGGAUUGUAGUCUGCAACUCGACUACAUGAAGCUGGAAUCACUAGUAAUCGUAGAUCAGCUAUGCUACGGUGAAUACGUUCCCGGGUCUUGUACUCACCGCCCGUCACACCAUGGGAGUUGAUUUCACCCGAAGCGGGGAAGCUAAACUGGCUACCCUCCACGGUGGAAUUAGCGACUGGGGUG